rnacentral:tRNA from 1 species
GGGAAUGUAGCUCAAGGGUAGAGCGUCCGUCUCCAAAACGGAAGGCUGAGGGUUCAAGUCCCUCUAUUCCCG